AUUUAUUCAGUGCUGUGAUUCAGUGUCCAAACCUCCUUUAUCAUUGUGUAUGUCAUACUGAAUGGUGUCAGAUUUUCAUACAAACUAGCAAGACACAGAAAUGUUCGUGUUGAAACAUUAAUUGCAUUUGUUUAUGGAAGACCGUUAUCCAACACCAAAUGUGAAAAGGUGAUUGCCACCUGUGUCACGCCCUGAUUCCUUCCCGCCCCUGCCAGGUGUCUCUCGUCGUCCCAUUAUCCCCUGUGUGUUUAAUCUGUGCUCUUCCCUUGUUCCUGUGCCAGUCAGUGAUGUUUUUCCAAGAGUCCUCGUGUUUCUCCUCCUUAGAUUGUCUCCAGAGUUCCUGUGUUCCGAACCUCUGCCUGCCCCCGACCGUGCACCCAACCUCUGCCUUUCUCUGACCUCCCUUUUCCUCUCCCCUCCUAAUAAACAGCACUGGACCUGCUCACCCGUGUCUGCGCCUGGUAGAGACCUCGUAGUCUACUUCACAUUGAUGGUCCCUCUUUUGCCGUCCAAACAGCCCUGACCCAUCGAGGCAUGGACUCCACUAGACCCCUGAAGGUGUGCUGUGGUAUCUGGCACCAAGACGUUAGCAGCAGAUCCUUUAAGUCCUGUAAGUUCUGAGGUGGGACCUCCAUGGAUCGGACCUGUUUGUCCAACACAUCCCAGAGAUGCUCGAUUGGAUUGAGAUCAGGGGAAUUUGGAUUCAUCAGGCCAGACCACCUUAGUCCAUUUCUCUGUGGUCCAGUUCUGAUGCUCACGUGCCCUUUGUAGGCGCUGUCGGCAGUGGACAGGGGUCAGCAUGGUCACACUGACUGGUCUGUGGUUACGCAGCCCCGUACGCAACAAACUGUGAUGCACUGUGUGUUCUGUCACCUUAAUAGCAAUAGCAAGCUCUGAGAUCAGUACCACCAUUAACUUUUUCAGCAAUUUGAGCUACAGUAACACGUCUGUUGGACCGCUGACACUCAAAAGCAAUUACUGGUCUCAUAUUAGGAUUCUUAUUUUUUAAGUAAAGGAACCAGGCCAACUUAGUUCAGCCGGUCCGCACCUGGAGUUGAACCCAGGUCUCCCACAAGCGGUGUCUUUAAACACUACGCCACAUUUGGUGACUAUCUUGGCAUUAUAGCAUCUUGACAUUCCAUCAUUUUGUCACGCGUUAAAAUCACACCACGUUUGAAUAUUUCACUAGACACCAUUAAGUAUUGUUCUAAACUGAUUAACAUUUCUUAUUAAGAAAUGCAUCUAUGAACUGUAUGGCUUUUUGCCACUGGCCUUUUUAACAGCUUAUUAGUCAGUAAUAGACUUACUAGUAUCUACUAACUUACUACUUGGAAUAAUCAUAAGAAUUGAGCAAUGGCUGGCGAGACAGAUGACACCUCCAAAGCUAUUUCAUUUCACGGCACAAAAUCAUAUAUUUUUGUUUCACAUACAUUCUCAAAUGAAACUGAUACAAUAACUAUCAAUUUAGGUGACGAUAACUGACUUCUUCAAGUGAAAAGACGACUCAUUGAAGCCACUCCUCUUUCACUGCCCAAGGAGUUUUGAUGAAGUAAUAUAUAUCAUCUAUAUAAAGUCAUAUAUUACAUCCCAAAAUUCAUGCACAGAUGCGUACUUCUACAAUCGCACUCCAGAAAUAGUCGCAAUAUUGUUUAACUGCAAACAGUUUUAUAUUUGGCUUACUAUAACGUUGCUGCUGAAGGUUGAAGCCAGCAAAGGUUUUGUCUAUCCUGAUCCAAAAACCAUGCACGGAUGCGUACUUCGAAAAGCCACCAGAAAUGCAUACUUUGACAAAUGACUUUGUUGAGAUUCGAAUGCGGGACCAAAUUUCUUGCAGGGCCACUUCUCUAACCACUACACUAUUUAACAAGGGUGGGUGGGUGGGUGGGUGGGUGGGU
ensembl:lncRNA